CAACAAGAAUAGACCAGCAGCGGGGGGGAGUUAGGGAGGGCCCAGGGAACAAAAUGACAAAACAGAGCUUUCCCACAUUUUCUACAUCGUGGCACACCAAUACAUCAUCGUCACCAGCGGAAGUGGGAGGCUCUUCAUAGAUUGAAAAGGGAAACUUCUUCCUGUGAGCAGUCCGUUCAUUUCUCUCCCAGACACAAGGCUGAAAUUUUAGUAUUACAGGAAUUUAAUCAGAUGCUCUCUCUCAGUUACUCAUGUUGGAAUUAGUGACCAGCUUAAACCCCAACGGCUUUUUCACAUUAACUGAUGUCAAGCCAGGUCAAGUUUUCCAGAAGGAGACCCCAAGACAAGGACUCACCUACAAGUGAUGUACUAAGGAGGUACACCCAGAAAAAACAAGUGAGGAAGGAUGAUGAAGCAAGAUAGAGAAGGGGGUCUUCUAGGAUGCCAGCCAAAUGGACAACGCCAGAGUGAAGACCCAGGAGAUGAAAUCGGAUCAAGUGGGAAGAGUAGCAUAAGGAAUCUAAAGUGGAACAAGGGUUGACAAUCCGUCCGCUUAAAAAUAAUAACCUCUGUAUAUUCCCUUGCAACUAGAUGUGGCCAUGUGAUUCAGUCCUGGUCAAUGAGAUAUAAAUGGUAUUUGCCAGCUAUGGCCUCCAGGAAAGCACUUUAAAGAUUCAGCUUUAUCUUGUCUGGAGCACAGACAUGCUGUAUGAGAUGUAGCAGCCAUCUUGUAUCCAUAAGAGCAUGCUAAAGAUGGCCGUGAACACCUCUUACAAAAACCACCCUGUCAAGAAAUAAAAAACUGCCAUUACUCCAGAAAUCUCUCAUGAGUCCUUUCUUGAACACAACCUCUGCUCCCCCCCCCCCCAGAAAUAACCACUACCCUUCUCAGUCUCUCUUAUUUUUGGCAUUCUUCAACCCCACAUACAUACACACUCAACACACAUAUGCACAAACAUUCCUUUUCAAAAUGGCAUUUGGAUGUAAGGAGUAGGCGAUUCAAGUGUCCUUGGCAAUGACAGAGUGGUGUCCUCAGACCUACACAGUCUCCCUUAAUGGUGUACCCAUUUUCACGAGAGAGAAUAUCAAGACCCACAUGUCCUACAAUUCCCUUUUCUGCCUCGGUGUUUCUUUCUCUGUCUGCCUCCUCUUUGCCCUUAAAACAUCUCAUUGGAAGGGACAGUCUUUCUUUUGUCUCAUAUUCUCCUUCUUCCCAACUCCAGCCACAAGGUCAAGCCUUAAUGAAGAUAAAUAUUUCUUUCUUUACUAAAUAAGAGAAACCCUAGGAAGACUGGCCUUUGCUAUGCUACAC
rnacentral:lncRNA from 1 species